UGGGGAAUUUUGCGCAAUGGGGGAAACCCUGACGCAGCAACGCCGCGUGGAGGAUGAAAUCCCUUGGGAUGUAAACUCCUUUCGAUCGGGACGAUUAUGACGGUACCGGAAGCAGAAGCCCCGGCUACCUCCGUUCCAGCAGCCGCGGUAAUACGGGGGGGGCAAGCGUUGUUCGGAAUUACUGGGCGUAAAGGGCUCGUAGGCGGCCAACUAAGUCAUACGUGAAAUCCCUCGGCUUAACCGGGGAACUGCGUCUGAUACUGGAUGGCUUGAGUUCGGGAGAGGGAUGCGGAAUUCCAGGUGUAGCGGUGAAAUGCGUAGAUAUCUGGAGGAACACCGGCGGCGAAGGCGGCAUCCUGGACCGAUACUGACGCUGAGGAGCGAAAGCCAGGGGAGCAAAC
rnacentral:rRNA from 1 species